rnacentral:rRNA from 1 species
AUUGAACGCUGGCGGCAGGCCUAACACAUGCAAGUCGAGCGAGCGGCGGACGGGUGAGUAAUGUAUGGGGACUGCCCGAUCGAGGGGGCUCACUACUGGAAACGGUGGCUAAUCCCGCAUACUGUUGGAUAACCCAUAUGGGAUUAGCUAGUAGGUCAGGUAAUGGCUUACCGAGGCGAAGAUCCCUAGCUGGUCUGAGAGGAUAAUCAGCCAGACUGGGACGGAGACACGGCCCAGACUCCUACGGAGGCAGCAGUGGGGAAUAUUGCACAAUGGGCGCAAGCCUGAUGCAGACAUGCAGCGUGUAUGAAGAAGGCCCUAGGGUUGUAAAGUACUGUCAGUCGGGAGGCGUUACCGACAGAAGAAGCACCGGCGAAAUCCGUGCCAGCCGCCGCGGUAAGAC